rnacentral:rRNA from 2 species
GUCGUCAGCUCGUGUCGUGAGAUGUUGGGUUAAGUCCCGCAACGAGCGCAACCCUCGCCAUUAGUUGCCAUCAUUUAGUUGGGAACUCUAAUGGGACUGCCGGUGCUAAGCCGGAGGAAGGUGGGGAUGACGUCAAGUCCUCAUGGCCCUUACAGGGUGGGCUACACACGUGCUACAAUGGCGACUACAGAGGGUUAAUCCUUAAAAGUCGUCUCAGUUCGGAUUGUCCUCUGCAACUCGAGGGCAUGAAGUUGGAAUCGCUAGUAAUCGCGGAUCAGCAUGCCGCGA